CUCGGGCCUUGUACACACCGCCCGUCACACCCCGAAAGUGGGGAACAGAUGAAGCCGGUGGCCUAACCGCAAGGGAGGGGCCGUCGAGUCUGGGUUUCAUGAUUGGGGUG
rnacentral:rRNA from 1 species